CAAAUACACACUCCAAAUGAAUUGGCGCCCCCACUCAUUCCUUGCACAUGGGCGCCAAUUCAAGUCGAGACACCAUGCAUUCAGACCUCGAAACCAAGCAAUCAGACCUAGGUCUUGCAUGCAUGUCCCUAUGGAGGCGCCAAUUUGAAUGGAGACCCCUCUUAAAGGUUGUACAUGGUCGCCAAUUCAUGUGGAGACACCAUGCAAGCACAACUUUUCAUGCUCCCAUCCAUUUGC
rnacentral:lncRNA from 1 species